UAAGAGGUCCAGCCUGCCCAGUGACUCUAGUUCAACGGCCGCGGUAUCCUGACCGUGCGAAGGUAGCGUAAUCACUUGUCUUUUAAAUUGAGACUAGUAUGAAAGGCACCACGAGAAUUAAACUGUCUCCUUUUUCUAAUCUGUGAAACUGAUCCCCCCGUGAAGAAGCGGGGAUUCUGAUAUAAGACGAGAAGACCCUAUGGAGCUUCAGACAAAUAACAAUGCCCCCUCCUUUUUUCUAAAAAAUACCCGAGCAUCUUAAUUAUUUAGUCUUAGGUUGGGGCGACCAUGGAGUAAAAAUCACCCUCCAUGCUGAACAGGACCUCCUUAAAUAAGAGUGACAACUCUAAGAAUCAAUAAAUUGACACAUUUGACCCAAUUACUUGAUCAACGAAACAAGUUACCCUAGG
rnacentral:rRNA from 1 species